rnacentral:lncRNA from 1 species
CCUGACUGUACUCAUCCUACCCCUAAGGCUGUGAUAUCAAAAUAUUUUAGGUAAGUUCAGAUGCAAGCCCAUGUCACCACUCUUGAGGAAGGAGAACUUCUGUGAAUGUAAAGCCACGUGAUCAGUUCUAUAGGUUGGCUCAGCAGAGCGACUCUUUGGGAAGAACUGGACCUGCAGUCUGUGUGUUCUUUGGGUUGCUGGCCACUUUGGGAAGACACCUAGAGUCAACAGAAGUAGGAAAUGGUGAGUGUGCCUUGGGAGUCUGGAUUCUUGGGUGGCGGGUAGCACCAACUCGUGGAAUUUUUCCUU